rnacentral:lncRNA from 1 species
CGACUCGUCUUCCGGCUCGCAGCCGCCGCCGCAGCCAAACCUACCGCCGGGAUUCCGCUUCCACCCCACCGAUGAGGAGCUAGUCGUUCAUUACCUCAAGAAAAAGGCCUCCUCGGCUCCCCUCCCAGUUGCCAUCAUCGCCGAAGUCGACCUCUACAAAUUCGAUCCAUGGCAGCUCCCAGGUAAGUACUAUACUAUACCAGAUAAUUACUAAACUACUAGUUAAUGAGCGCAUAUAUUCUCUGAGUUGAUUGAAUCGAAUAGGGUAAGACUAUUGGUUCUCUUUCUUUAAAUUAAGAGACCUUUCUACCUCCUUUCUCUCUCUAUAAUAGAUAGAAACUGAUAUGGAGGUACGUAUGAUUUGACAGAAAAGGCGACGUUCGGAGAGCAAGAGUGGUAUUUUUUCAGUCCUAGAGACCGGAAGUACCCGAACGGAGCACGGCCUAAUAGAGCAGCGACUUCAGGAUAUUGGAAGGCGACCGGAACUGACAAGCCGGUUUUGAGUACUACUGAUGAGGGAGGUGGGGGUACUCGGAAAGUUGGGGUGAAAAAAGCACUUGUUUUCUACAGAGGAAAGCCCCCAAAAGGAAUCAAAACCAAUUGGAUCAUGCAUGAGUAUAGGAUUGCUGAUAACAACACAAGUAACAAGCCACCCCCUGGGUGUCAU